UAUACCACAAACCCCCGAGGUGCCUUAUUGCUACUGGUUACCAAGGGGCGGCAGGUGGUUAGAGCGUUGGGCCAGUAACCGAAAGGUUGCUGGAUCGAAUCCCCGAGCUGACAAAGUAAAAAGCUGUCGUCUGCCCUUGGGCAAGAAAGUUAACACACUGUUCCCUGGUAGGCCGUCAUUGUUAAUAAGAAUUUGACAUUAACUGACUUGCCUAGUUACAGGUUACAUUUAAAACCAACAUAAUUAGUGCAGUAAAAAAUAAAUUGUUGGCACACCCAUGGUAUAUGGUCUGAUAUACUGUGGCUUUCAGCCAAUCAGCAUUCAGGGCUGAAACCACCCAGCUUUAAACGAUUUAGUUUAAAGUCAAAUCACGAAUGUACGCAAUUGAGAUACAGUUGCCAUAGGGAAGUCAUCCGUAGAUGGAAUGUGUAUUUGGUCUUGUACAAAAUAACAUUAAAAUCAUGCACAGACUAUCUCAAGUUAGUAAUUAUUGCAUGAAAUCAAGACAUGCAUAUGCAUCGUGGGCCGUGAAUAACAACUAUGUUGAUGGGGGUGUUUUCUUGUAUUAGAAGGCAUAUCAUGUUAAUAGAUAAUUGGAACUGAACAGUAGCUUUACAUUCUAGUCCCAAGCCCUUGCAGGGAAAGGUGCUCUUCAUAUAAGGCUGAGACUCCAAGUCCUAUUAGAAAGUCUUUGUAUUAUCAAUAUUUAUCAUUAAAUUGAUGUUGAGCAUUUGCCACCUGAUUUUGUACUGUCUGAGUAUUUGUGGAAAACAAAUAUUGAUAACUAAAUGUUAUGAAUAAUAAUAGUCUGUCUUAUACAUAAAAUGACAAUAGAUCCAAUAUUUAUCUUGAUCAUGCUUAUUUGAGUCGUUGGAGUGUGUUUGCGUGGUAUUUGAGAUGGUUUAGCUUCUCCAUUGCUUAGCUUUACCCUGUAGUAGUUUUCACUUGUAUAGCUUUGAUUUGGGCAGAACAUUGUCUAGAUGGGCUGAGUGGUAGUAGUAUAGGCUGGCUUUUCUAUCCUAUCCAGCUAAGGUAAUGGCUCCUGUAUUACAGAGGAAAGUGAAAGCAAACAACGUAAAUUACAAAGCGGGUGUUAUCUGUGUUCAAACUAUUUUAAACUGUGGGCAAACAAAAAAAUAUAUAAAAUUGGAUGUGUGUACAGAAAGGCCGCUCUCCUUUACCCAUCUUCCCUUGAAGGUCUACAUUUGAAAUAACAUCCCUGUUUAGUAGAGUAACUUAUUUUCUUAACUCAAAUGUAACAAUGAAUGUAGUUAUGGCCAGUGUAUUUGUAAUAUUAAGUUGUAUCCACCUGUAAUUUAUGCUUGUAUCCAUAACUUUUUUUCAUGCAUGCGCAUUAGCUUCAGUCCACAAACCUUAAACUGAUUGGCUCCUGAAAGUGGGAUAAAGUCCAACUUCAGUCUGUUUUCAUAAGUACUUUAGCAUAAGCUUACAUCACAUAUUGUCAAAUAAUUAAUUCCCCUUCUGUCAUCACAUUGAAUAGACAUGAGUAAGAAACUGAUUAGUCUCAUACAUCUUGUUCAUCAGAAAGCAAAAUGUUAUCAUUUAAUAGUUGAUUUCUUAAGUUACAUUUGAAAGCUAUCACGGGAACAUUUAGACUUCUAUAAAAUAAAACAGUUUUGCUACAUAGUGUCACACUAGUGCAAAGAUCGGUCCGUUUGAUCCUUUUCCUUUGUGAUUUUUGGCUUAUGCUCGUCUUGGUUCUGAUAUUCCACUACAGUGCACAGUUUUAUGGAAAAUGACUAAUGCUGUCUCAGGCAACUAAUCCAACAUUUUAAUUUUGUGUUGACACCUUGGAAUGUCUGCAAAUGUCAAAGUUUUUAAGAUGCUUAUGAUCUCUAACAUGACGUGAUGCUGUCUCAGUGCCAUGGCUUCAGCAUGUCCUGCUGUGAUGAGCGUCCCAUAUCUCAGUCUUCUCUCCCCCUUGAGUAAACGGCACGAUUGUUUUCCAGUGUUCUUCGGUUGAGCUGAUUCCAAGCACUAGGCCAGGAUUGUCGUUAUGCCAAGCUUGACCCCCUAUGAUCCUAUUUAAAAAGAGAACAGAGCCUUCAUAGCGCUUCACCAAACUAAUGCCAUAUAUGUGUGUUUAACAUGCAGGACUGACAUGGAUAUGUUAUAUCCUUCUGAAAGAAUUGAGGGCUUCAGAAUGACUUGGCUUUUUAUAUACCAACUUAGUAAACUACCUCAAAACGGUCUCGGGUGCUUGUGUUUAUCCCUAAUUUAUGACGAAGACAAAAAUCAAUUGUAGUGACCAAACAACAUAAGCCAAUACUGUGUAUUAGAGACAUUAUUUUACAUCCCAAAAAUGUAUUACAGAUUAACUUUACAUACAAAAAUAAAGUUCAAAGGACCAAAUUUUGUAAUUGCAGUUCAAGUCUCAAUGUUAUUAUAUAUGCAUGAGAGUCCUCUUAAUUUUUAUUUUAUAACUGUAGUGAUAACAAGAAUAACCAAUGAACCCUUAGCUAGCAGAAACUGAGUUGGGAGGAGUUCGCGUAGCAAUAUAAGCUGUAGUCAUGACUGGAUGAUAUAUUGAUGUGCCAAUCGAAUGGCUAUUUAUUCGUUCAUCUAAUCACUUACUAUUCCUGCUAUAAGUUUUUGGUAGUAUUAAAUAUAAAUAAUGGGCUGCAGAUGGAGGCUUGUCAAUGGGAUGAUGUAUGCAGAGCAAUAACUACUGUCCAAGCUGAGGUUGUGAUAGUAGUCCAAGCUGAGGUUGUGAUAGUAGUCCAAGCUGAGGUUGUGAUAGUAGUCCAAGCUGAGGUUGUGAUAGUAGUCCAAGCUGAGGUUGUGAUAGUAGUCCAAGCUGAGGUUGUGAUAGUAGUCCAAGCUGAGGUUGUGAUAGUAGUCCAAGCUGAGGUUGUGAUAGUAGUCCAAGCUGAGGUUGUGAUAGUAGUCCAAGCUGAGGUUGUGAUAGUAGUCCAAGCUGAGGUUGUGAUAGUAGUCCAAGCUGAGGUUGUGAUAGUAGUCCAAGCUGAGGUUGUGAUAGUAGUCCAAGCUGAGGUUGUGAUAGUAGUCCAAGCUGAGGUUGUGAUUUGCUUGACUAGGUGUAAUGCAAGUCUCACCUAGUGAGCUACAUGAACCCUGCCUUGUGAUCUAGUCAACUACAGCAGGCCUCAGACUCGGUGGCGUCUUUAAUUCAGCCUUUAAGAGAUGGAUGUCUGAUAAAUGGAAUGUACUUGUAGCUUAGCAAACAAAUGGUCCACAGUUAAAGCUUACUAAGUGUCUUCUGACACAAUCUGCAUCUUUAAGUGAUUUUAUCCAGUUCCGCAAUAACACCGGCAAGGCUUUUAUUUCAUGUUGUUGCCCUUUACCAGUUUUAAUUUGUUCUUACACCCAGAAAAAGGAAAAUAACUAUCAAACUAUUAAUUAUCCACAUUUGUAAUGUUUUAGAUGAGGCUAAUAUAUGUAUUUUUGCAUGCUACAUUUUACGAAGUGAAUACAUUUGAACUACACUUUCCUCAAUGUUUUGUACAUUGACAUGAUAUACAGAUGUAGCCUACUGGCAUAUUUCAGUCACUUAAGAUAAUCUGAUAGCCCAAUGGAAAGGUACAACAACAAGGUAUGGAAAUUAAAUUCCAAUUCUUGUCAUUGUCAUCUGAUCUGAAAACAUGUUUUUAUGGUGUGUGCCUUUUUAGAGAUUUAUUUUCCACCAAUCCUAUUUGAGUUGCUCACCCAUAUUUGAUUUACAGCACCACAUAAAAUAAUGUCCACAUUAUCAUGCAACCUUGAGUGAAGACGCUGCAUAGAGUGAUCAGUAUUUGUGUUUUGCACUUUCGAAGCAGUUUAAAAAAAUGCCCGCUUAAGGCUGGGCAGACAGAAAAAUGUAUAAAACACAAGGUAUUUUAUGCUAUCAACAUGAAUAAUAUGACUGAAGAGCUUUUCUAAAAAGGUAAAGAUAUAUCUAUAUAUAUUCACGAAGUACCUCAUAAGCCUGACAAAUGCUGCAUUGACUUUUCUCAUUUUUUAUUUUGUCUUCAUAUUGUCCAAUAAAAUGUAAAUAUCCCCUUUAGGAGGUUUGAUUGUCACAAGGCCGUGCAUAUGCCAUGCAAAACCAGUUCACUGUCAAACAUUUAAAUGGUAUUUUCUGAACCUGAAGCCAAAAUAAAUGGUUGUGUGAGAUUGUGUCAUGUAUGCACUUUUCUUAAAUACAUUUAUCAUCAUUCUAAAUUGUAGCCACAUACUUUCCAUGUUUUGCUUGUUAGGAUGCUGUGAGUUUCCAAAGAACCCCAAAAAAUUGGUUUCAGUCAGGAAUUCAUGUCAUUUUCCAUCAACAAAACUAUGGCGACUCAAUACUGUUUGACGUGACCGUUGACUCCGGUAUUGCCAUGAGAGGGCUGUAUCUGCAACUGUUUAUCCUCCCUAUCUUAUUCCACACCUUUGUCUUAAGAUAGCCUUAGAACUUCAAAUGGAGUACCUUCUUCUAGUAUAUUUGACCUUAAAAGUACAAAAUGAUGCACUUGAAUCCACACCUUGAGAAACCAUGUCAUGCAUGCGCCAUUGCCACAUAUCUACCUCCUAUGAAUGUAAGUGUCCUGAAGAUUCAGUCACCUGAUUUUAAUUGGUUCUGUUACUCUUUUUUUAAAUAUUUUUUUUAUGACAAUCAUCCUUGAAUGAUCAAUUAAAUAUUUUUGAAAAGCCCUACACUUCCUUAUGUCUUGCCUUUUCACAGUAAACACUAUCCAGGACCUACCAUUUCUGUUUUAACACAUCAAGGAUUUUUUUCUUUAAAUGUCAAUGUAAAGCGACCAAAUGCUUUUUUGCAAAGGCAGAGUCCUGCACAGUACAGUGAACUCAAACCUCCCUUGCGUGUGAUUGAGAUUUUCAGAGUUUUCUCUACCACAUGCUAAAACUGAAUUUGCUGUCAUAUCUAUCAUGGAGAGAUCUUUUUGGUGCUGGUUUAUUGGUUCGAUCCACUGCUAGCAGCUCCUCGUUGUCGAAAAUGUCAGUUUUGAUUUCUAUUACUUUUUUUGUUAACAAUUAUGAUUACAAACACGAGAGAUGCUGUAAAGUCCUGAUAGAAAAUGUGAAUGUUUCAUUUAAUAUAGCUAACUCUGGCUUGACUGUAAAUUGCAUUAAUUCAUAAAAAUAUCAAGUUUCUUAAAGUUUUGUCUUUUACUAUGUAUAUAAAGAUUUGGUUAAAAUGUGAA